rnacentral:rRNA from 1 species
ACCUACGGGACGCAGCAGUGGGGGAUAUUGCACAAUGGGGGAAACCCUGAUGCAGCGACGCCGCGUGGGUGAAGAAGUAUUUCGGUAUGUAAAGCCCUAUCAGCAGGGAAGAAAGAAGACGGUACCUGACUAAGAAGCCCCGGCUAACUACGUGCCAGCAGCCGCGGUAAUACGUAGGGGGCGAGCGUUAUCCGGAUUCACUGGGUGUAAAGGGAGCGUAGACGGUUAAGUAAGUCUGAAGUGAAAGGCCGGGGCCCAACCCCGGGACUGCUCUGGACACUAUUGAACUUGAGUGCAGGAGAGGG